UGUUGCAUGGCUGUCGUCAGCUCGUGUCGUGAGAUGUUGGGUUAAGUCCCGCAACGAGCGCAACCCUCAUCCUUAGUUGCCAUCAGGUAAUGCUGAGUACUUUAAGGAAACUGCCAGUGAUAAGCUGGAGGAAGGUGGGGAUGAUGUCAAGUCAUCAUGGCCUUUAUGGAGUGGGCUACACACGUGCUACAAUGGUGUCUACAAUGGGCUGCAAGGUGCGCAAGCCUAAGCUAAUCCCUAAAAGACAUCUCAGUUCGGAUUGUACUCUGCAACUCGAGUACAUGAAGUUGGAAUCGCUAGUAAUCGUGGAUCAGCAUGCCACGGUGAAUACGUUCUCGGGUC
rnacentral:rRNA from 1 species